GACGAACGCUGGCGGCGUGCCUAAUACAUGCCAGUCGAACGCUUAAUUCGGAGCUUGCUCUUCUGGAUGAGUUGCGAACGGAUUAGUAACGCGUAGAUAACCUGGCUGGUAGCGUGGGAUAACUAUUGGAAACGAUAGCUAAUACCGCAUAACAUUAGGUGUUACAUGACAUUUACUUAAAAGUUGCAAUUGCAUCACUACCAGAUGGACCUGCGUGGUAUUAGCUGGUUGGUGGGGUAACGGCUCACCAAGGCGACGAUACAUAGCCGACCUGAGAUGGUGAAUGGGCAACAUGGGGAUGAGAAACGGGCCAGACUCCUACGGGGGGCAGCCGGAGGGAAAUUUUGGGAAUGGAAGGAAGGCUGAACGGGGAAAGGCGCGGGAGUGAAGAAGGGUUUCGGAUCGGAAAGCUCUGUUGGAAGAGAAGAAAGAGUGUGAGAGUGGAAAGUUCACCCUGUGACGGUAUCUUACCAGAAAGGGACGGCUAACUACGUG
rnacentral:rRNA from 1 species